rnacentral:rRNA from 1 species
CAGCCACCGCGGGAAUACGAAGGGUGCAAGCGUUAAUCGGAAUUACUGGCCGUAAAGCGUGCGUAGGCGGUUUGUUAAGUCUGCUGUGAAAUCCCCGGGCUCAACCUGGGAAUGGCAGUGGAUACUGGCAAGCUAGAGUGUGUCAGAGGAUGGUGGAAUUCCCGGUGUAGCGGUGAAAUGCGUAGAGAUCGGGAGGAACAUCAGUGGCGAAGGCGGCCAUCUGGGACAACACUGACGCUGAGGCACGAAAGCGUGGGGAGCAAACAGGAUUAGAUACCCCGGUAGUCCCUGUCUCUUAUAU